GACGAACGCUGGCGGCGUGCCUAAUACAUGCAAGUAGAACGCUGAAGGAGGAGCUUGCUUCUCUGGAUGAGUUGCGAACGGGUGAGUAACGCGUAGGUAACCUGCCUGGUAGCGGGGGAUAACUAUUGGAAACGAUAGCUAAUACCGCAUAAUAGUAGAUGUUGCAUGACAUUUGCUUAAAAGGUGCAAUUGCAUCACUACCAGAUGGACCUGCGUUGUAUUAGCUAGUUGGUGGGGUAACGGCUCACCAAGGCGACGAUACAUAGCCGACCUGAGAGGGUGAUCGGCCACACUGGGACUGAGACACGGCCCAGACUCCUACGGGAGGCAGCAGUAGGGAAUCUUCGGCAAUGGACGGAAGUCUGACCGAGCAACGCCGCGGGAGUGAAGAAGGGUUUCGGAUCGUAAAGCUCUGUUGUAAGAGAAGAACGAGUGUGAGAGUGGAAAGUUCACACUGUGACGGUAUCUUACCAGAAAGGGACGGCUAACUACGUG
rnacentral:rRNA from 1 species